rnacentral:ribozyme from 13 species
GAGAAGAGAUGAGAAAAACAGCAAGAAGAAGAAAUAGCAUAUUUAGCAAGAGAAUUACUUUCUCUUUCUCUCUCUUCAUCUAUUUUCUUCUCUUUCUUUCUCUUUCC